rnacentral:rRNA from 1 species
UACGUAGGGUGCAAGCGUUGUCCGGAAUUAUUGGGCGUAAAGAGCUUGUAGGCGGUUUGUCGCGUCUGCUGUGAAAUUUCGGGGCUCAACCCCGAACUUGCAGUGGGUACGGGCAGACUAGAGUGUGGUAGGGGAGACUGGAAUUCCUGGUGUAGCGGUGAAAUGCGCAGAUAUCAGGAGGAACACCGGUGGCGAAGGCGGCGUUCUGGACUGCAACUGACACUGAGGAACGAAAGCCAGGGGAGCAAACGGG